UACGGAGGAUCCGAGCGUUAUCCGGAUUUAUUGGGUUUAAAGGGUGCGCAGGCGGGAGAUUAAGUCGGCGGUGAAAUUUUGCAGCUUAACUGUAAAAGUGCCUUCGAAACUGGUUUCCUUGAGUGUAGAUGAAGUAGGCGGAAUUUGUGGUGUAGCGGUGAAAUGCAUAGAUAUCACGAGGAACUCCGAUUGCGCAGGCAGCUUACUAAACUACUACUGACGCUCAGGCACGAAGGCGUGGGGAUCAAACAGG
rnacentral:rRNA from 1 species